GACGAACGCUGGCGGCGUGCUUAACACAUGCAAGUCGAGCGGAAAGGCCCUGCUUUUGUGGGGUGCUCGAGUGGCGAACAGGGGAGUAUCACGUGAGUAACCUGCCCUUGACUUUGGGAUAACUUCAGGGAACUGGAGCUAAUACCGGAUAUGAUCUCCUGCUGCAUGGGGGUGAUUGGAAAGAGUCGCCGGUGUGGGAUGGACUCGCGGCUUAUCAGCUUGUUGGUGGGGUGGUGGCUUACCAGGGCUUUGACGGGUAGCCGGCCUGAGAGGGUGACCGGCCACAUUGGGACUGAGAUACGGCCCAGACUGCUACGGGAGGCAGCAGUGGGGAAUAUUGCACAAUGGGCGGAAGCAGGAUGCAGCAACGCCGCGUGCGGGAUGACGGCCUUCGGGUUGUAACCCGCGUGCGCCUGUGACGAAGCGUGAGUGACGGUAAUGGGUAAAGAAGCACCGGCUAACUACGUG
rnacentral:rRNA from 1 species